UCCAACAAGGGACAGAAAAUAAAUAUUUGAACUUAAACAGGAGGAUCAGGUCAUCGGAAACUCCUGAAGAGGAAGGAUACACAGGGGCCAGCCUUGUGAAGAGCUGGGGAGGCAAGGGCUGUCUCUACAUUAUGCCCAUCCAGAACACACUGGACAUUUCUCCCCUACCCUUCACAGCUCUGGAGUUCCAGGCCAUGCCGAAAGCCCGGUGUGUGUCAUGCCAGGAGUAUGUGCCCCUGCAGCUCCUCAGUCUUCGUGUCAAGACAUGUAUCCAGUCUAAAGUCAAGGUUGAGGUCCAUUGUGCAGUCAACUAAUUACAAAAGACGACAUCUAUGUGCAUGCAAGUGUCUGCGGGGAGAGCAGUACAAAGGAGGGAGAUGAAGAUAUUAGUGAGGACACCGAUGAGCACUUCGGCAGUGCCAUCGCUGUGCAUGCACUGGUGAGGCUGAUCCUGAUCCAGCUGCGUGAGGGAUUGAGGCUCUACGGAUUAGAUGAGGUGUUAGCACACCACACCCAGAAGUGCCAGCAACUCUUUGUCCCUGGCCACUUACAGGAAGUGAAUGCAGACUUCCUUCUGCUUGCGCUAUCUCCUGAUUUCAGUGAGGAAGGGUCUGUGAGACGGCAGCGAGAGAUGCGGAUCAUCAACUUUCUGCAGGAUUUCUUGCAAAGGUUGGAAGACAGAGAAGCAGACAGCCAAGAAGAGACAGCCCUGAAGGUCAAAGUCACGUGGCAGCUGUGCAGGGAACAAAUGGUGGGGAGAAGCGCCUGUCAGUCAAGAGCUUCCUUCAGUGGGUCCAGGUCAGGCACACGUUCCACUGAUUGAAUCCAAGAGAGAGGCAUUCAGGAUAACUAUUAAUUUUGACCAUGACUGCGACUCCCGCUAUGGGGCACAUAGCCUUUGUUACCCCAUUGUCAAUGCUUGUGCAGUUGCCAUUACAUUUCCUACACGCCACUUAGCCACCUCCCAAGAGUUUGAAAACAACCUGAGGCAAUCUGUGGUGGUUACGAGUUCAGCAUACAUUAGCAUUUUAAUGGCCUUGUUACCUGACCCUCUUUGUGCAUAGUUUUUUUUUUUCUACUGUGUACAACAAAGUUGUUCCAUUGUUAAUGUCACACUCUGCCUGUCUGCCAUGCGGUGUUUUGCACUGUUUAGUUAGCAUUAUUUUGGUCUGUUGGGUUUUGGGGGUCUGUCUUGUCUUUCGUCUAGUGUUCAGUAACCCUUGUCAUGUCUGUUACCCCAGUGAUCCCUCUGCAUGUCUGUCUCUGUUU